rnacentral:miRNA from 1 species
AACGUCGCCCCCGCUCCCCCG